GAAGAUUUAAGCAACAGCAGCAUCAGAGAACUGUGUUUUGAAGAUUUGAGGGAAGGGCUGACCUCAGGAUUUUAUACUAGGUAUUUGAUGCAAUGCAGACUGGAAUCCUCCCCACAAGGGUGCCCCGGCCUGAGUGUUACAGAGAUCAAUGCAGCAGUCAUUUCCUGGGCAGGGAAAGCCCAUCCACUGUGGCCCUGGAAUGAUGCCGGUGUUAUCUUCUAUUCCUAGGAAGGCCCUAUCACAAGUGGCUCUGGGCCAUACAAACAGAUGGAAACGGGUGUGGGGAAGCACAGGCCUCCUGCCCAUGUUUAGAGAACUGCUCAGAGGCAGGAAUCCAGAACCAGGAAUGUCCCCAAUGGCUGCCCAGGGUACAAGUGGCAGGCAGUGGGGAGAAUGGCAUGUGAAGUCAUUUGUAACCUGGCUCCAGUUUGGUUUUCAAGUCUCAGAGGAGAUUAUGGAUACGGUAGUGCCUGGCUCAGUGCUUAGAAUCCUGUCUUCUGCUAUUUCUCUCACCUACACUCAGCCCCACAAGCUGAGAUGUUUGCUGGACAUUUCAGGCAUUGCCACCCAGUUCUGUCUACCUUACCUGCUAACACCUGUUGACAUCCUUCAUGUGAAGGCUUCCCCAAACACUUCCCAAUCAAAGCACUAAAAGGCAAACCUGAAAUUAAUAAAAUGUCGAUUAAAUCUGUA